rnacentral:ncRNA from 2 species
CACUCCGAGGAGCGUUGCAACGGACGGCGCGCGGGCCCAACCCCGCAUUCUGCCAUCCGCCAGGCUCGGAAUGUCUUCAACGGCGCUCGCUGAAC